UUGAACGCUGGCGGCAUGCUUUACACAUGCAAGUCGAACGGCAGCACGGGGGCAACCCUGGUGGCGAGUGGCGAACGGGUGAGUAAUGCAUCGGAACGUACCGUGUAAUGGGGGAUAACGAGUCGAAAGACUUGCUAAUACCGCAUACGCCCUGAGGGGGAAAGUGGGGGAUCGUAAGACCUCACGUUAUACGAGCGGCCGAUGCCGGAUUAGCUAGUUGGUAGGGUAAAGGCCUACCAAGGCGACGAUCCGUAGCUGGUCUGAGAGGAUGAUCAGCCACACUGGGACUGAGACACGGCCCAGACUCCUACGGGAGGCAGCAGUGGGGAAUUUUGGACAAUGGGCGCAAGCCUGAUCCAGCCAUGCCGCGUGAGUGAAGAAGGCCUUCGGGUUGUAAAGCUCUUUCAGACGGAAAGAAAUCGGGCGCGUGAAUAGCGUGCCUGGAUGACGGUACUGUCAGAAGAAGCACCGGCUAACUACGU
rnacentral:rRNA from 1 species